UGUAAGAUAGUCAAGUUAGAUGGGAGAUUGUUCAAGCAAAAGGCUUAAGUUAAACUGUGUAGAAGUCUCAUGUCAUUAUUUAUACCGCUGCUGGGUCCGGAAAGUCCCGCUAUAUCUUGUACUUAAAUUUUGGAAGCAGGAAACCAAUAAUACAUAAAUGUAAGUGUGCCCACUGACAAAAAAUUCUGGACAAGGGAAAAACUGCUAUUUUAUGCAGAGUCAUUUUGUCUGUUUUCUAUUGUUGUAACAGAGUAUCUAAGAGUGGGUGGGUUGUAAGGGAAAAGUUACUCAUUUUGGCUCACAGUUGGAGAGUUCACAGUUGGAGAACAUAAAGCCAGAGUCUGCAGGCAUCUGGUAAUGGCCUCAUGACAAAAGUCAAACAGGCAUGGUCAAAAAGGCAGAGGGAGCCAGACACCACAGCAGCCAGCUCUCACCAGGGCAAACCCACUCGACAGAAACUGCAUUACUGCCUUCCUGAGAGUAGUGCUCCCACAUAGUGCUCCCAUGACCUCCCAGGAGCCUUGCUUUGCUCUCAGUACUACAUGGCACCCGAAGCUAGCACAUCCACACUGUGAUAGUGAUGAAAGAAGCCCUCUUUGAGGGAUCCCAGCUACUGCCAGAGACCUGAGGAAGGUAGGGUAAGGCAGGCAAGUGUAAGGAAGUCCCUGAGGAAGUGUGUUCCAUGUGGUAGGAGCAGAGAUGCACUGGGGUGGACCCUGACUGUCAAAGGGGAAGGAGGAAGAGGGCAGAUGAGAAAGCAGGGACCAAACCACAGGGAACGUCACUUUCAGAAACAAGUGUUUUGUUGAGAUUGAUUAUCUCUAACCCUUUUCCUUAGGACUUGUUAACCUAACAAAAGCAGAGAAAAUAAUACUGCAAACCCAUGUGUUCUGAUUGGCCAACCCGGUGCCACCUGCACCUCCUCCAGUUCUUCCCCAUCUGCUUCCUCAUCCCAGACCUCAAACAUCCCCUCCAUUAGUGCUUUAGAGUGUGCUUCUAAAAGACGGAGUUACCGUUCACUUUUAUCAUGAUGAAGUUGCUCACCUUUGAGCAGUAGGUGGCCGCGCUGCCCCUGUAACAGUACCCACAUGAUCCUUGGCAGCCUCCUCUGCUCUAGUCAUGAGGCAUCCCGGACUGAACAGAGACUUUGUUACCCCAGACUCAAAAGUUGUCACUUCUCCAGGAGUCCCCUGUUCCAGGGAAAGGGAAACAGCACUGCCUCUGAGACCCAGUCUAGGCAAGGGGACAGUCCUCAUUGCAGGGCCGCCAGUGUUUGCAGGACUUUCCAGCGGACAGAAAUAGGGGUUCAUUUAUUAGGAAGGCAUACUUUGCAUUGGAAAGGACUGUGGGAUGCUAUGUAGAGAGACAUGCUUUGAAAGACCCACAGCCAGAGAGAGCACCGACCGGCUUGGGUUGUAAGACCAGGCUGAUGAGGUGGUGGAAGAGAACUAUUUGGAUGCUUCUCCAGGAUUUAUUAAUGGGUUAGAACUGGGGCAUGAUACACAGGGAGUAAGAGAUGGCAGUAGGAAUCUUGGGUGCAGAUAAUUGAGGCCCAGGAGCACAGAGCAAAAGCACCUUCUUGGAAAGGUGCUUAGCUGUGUCUGGGCUAAUCUGAGGUCUACACUGAGACUGUGUGAGAACCUGUUCUACUUAGAGGUACAGGUCAGCAGUUAAUAUCUGGGGCAAAUGUCUAUAAAUGGCUUAGAACCCUUGGCCUGAAGGAGUCCUUACAGCAGUUGGAGGGAAGCUGGACAGAUAAAAGCAUGAACUCUUGUCUGGUUAGAGGAAGGCCCUCAUUCAAAUGACUGAAGUAGGAAGCAGGCCCAUAGAGGUGAGGGAGCUGCCACACAGUGGAUGGCUCUGGAGUUCUGCUGGCCUUGGGAGUAGGGGUUACUAAUGUAGAUUACUUUAGGAGAGAGGCUUGGUUGCAAAUAAAGAGGAAAGGGGCUCACAUUUGAACAUGAAGACUCUGCAGGAUGGUGGCAUGUCCCCCUAGCAACAGAGUAGACACCGUUUUUGCUCGUCCUCAGAGCUGUCAUUGGUGAGAACUGAGAAGGGACCAGGCUCUGUUCCAGAGGUUAGGUUGGGCAGCUGAGUCCUAACGCCCCCUUUUCCCAGCCAGGCAUUUUGCAGGACAGUGCUUGCAGCAGCCAAGGAAGUAACUGAAGAAGCUUUGACUGUCCAUUCUUUCAAAGGGGGAAGAGGGGUACCUUAGAGUCAUGUGACCACACGGGACCCCAUUUUCUAUUUAGUAGUGCUUGGUGUGCUUCACGGAAGAAGAGUAAAAGAUGGGAGUUUGGGGCACAGCCAUGAGCCAGUUGUGGGGUGAUCAACAGUGAUAUAAACAGCUCUCCUGAAACUUCUUACACAGUGAAGAGAGGGUGGGUGUGUACCUGCCCAGGGGAGACUGAGAUUUCCAGCUACUUCCCUUUAGGAAAACAGACACCUCUAAACGUUUUAGAUUGGGGUCUUUCUGUCUUGGGAGUUACUGUGGAGCAUUCAGCAGCCUGUCUGCAGUGGGCUGAGUGCACCCGGACACACACUAAUCACCUUUGCUCUCUUCAGUGGAGGUGGAGACAGAGAGAAGAGGCAUUACUCCCCAUUCCGGAUCCUCCCCUAUUUGGUUCAUGUACAUAGCUCUGCCCAGCCAGAACCAGAGCCUUGCUGUCUAACACUGGUUGAAAAGAUUCACUCUGGUUACGAAGGUAAGUCAGGAAGUACGCCCUGCUCUCUGUAAGAUGCAGAAUGCCGGUGUUUAACAGCAGUGUGGAGAUAGCAGCGUCUGUAGGUCUAGGACAGAAGACUGCUUCCGUUUCCAGUCUGGGUCAUAGGCUCGGGAAGCAUGUAGCUGGUGUGUGCUAACCUUGUCUUCUGUGCAGUUAUCCCUGCCGGUGUGGCCUCCCGGGCUGUGGAGAUCCUCACACUCAGAUAGACACGCAGUACUUUAUUCCCAUCUCUGUUGGUGACCUGUUCUAUGGCCUUUUAUAUCUGUCAUGUAUGAAACAAUAGCACUAAAAUCAUUACAUGAAAAGGCCACAAGAAUGGUUGAGUUUGCCGGAAGCACAUGUUCUAGGGACUGAGGCAUGUGUGCCCUGGGCAACAUAUCAAGUUCAAAGAUAGCCUGGAAUACCUGUCUCACCGACAGCUGGAGGUAUACCACAGUGGUAGAAUGCUUGUCUGGCUGUGUAACCGCAAGGCCCUGGGGUUGAUCCUGGGCAGUUGGUGGAGGGGGCAAGACAUUAUAUUAUAGAAGUGUUUGGAAACUUCCAGAAAUUUCAGUAUAUAUAUUCAGUAAACAGAAAUACAUUUCUAAACUUAUAAAUAGCAGCAGCUUCCAUCUUAAUACUUAAAAUCAUAGUUGGUUCUUAUAAGACAUGAUAUGUGCUUUUCUACAAAUUACCACCCUGUUCAAAAGCCCCCAUAAAAACGUAGGACCAUGGUGAGAAUUAGUUCAGGGGCACAGUGAUCAAAAAAGAUUAAUUAUAU
rnacentral:lncRNA from 1 species